rnacentral:rRNA from 1 species
ACGAACGCUGGCGGCGUGCUUAACACAUGCAAGUCGAACGGUGAAGCGCCUUCCUUUUUGGUGGGUGUGGAUGAGUGGCGAACGGGUGAGUAACACGUGAGUAACCUGCCCCCUUCUUCUGGAUAACCGCAUGAAAGUGUGGCUAAUACGGGAUAUUCUGGGUCUGUCGCAUGAUGGGUCUGGGAAAGAUAUUGUUUCGGUGGGGGAUGGGCUCGCGGCCUAUCAGCUUGUUGGUGGGGUGGUGGCCUACCAAGGCGGUGACGGGUAGCCGGCCUGAGAGGGUGGACGGUCACACUGGGACGGAGACACGGCCCAGACUCCUACGGGAGGCAGCAGUGGGGAAUAUUGCACAAUGGGCGCAAGCCUGAUGCAGCGACGCCGCGUGAGGGAUGGAGGCCUUCGGGUUGUGAACCUCUUUCGCCAGUGAAGCAGGCCUGCCUCGUUUGUGGGUGGGUUGACGGCAGCUGGAUAAGAAGCGCCGGCUAACUACGUG